CCCUUUUCUCUUCAUCUUCUCCAACAUUUGUUAUUUGUAGACUUUUUGGUGAUGGUCAUUCUGACUGGUGUGAGGAGUUACCUCACUGUGGUUCUGAUUUGCGUUUCUUUAAUAAUUGGUGAUGUUAAGCCUCUUUUCGUGUGUGUGUUGGCCGUCUGUAUUUCUUCUUUGGAAAAAUGUCUGUUCAGGUCUUCUGCCCAUUUUUUGAUUGGGUUGUUUGGGUUUUGGGUCUUUUUGGUAUUGAGUUUUAUGAGCUGUUUGUAUAUUUUGGACAUUAGCCCCUUGUUGGUUGCAUCAUUUGCAAGUUAUUUUCUCACAUUGUAUAGGUUGUCCUUUUGUGUUUUUCAGUGGUUCCCUUUGCUGUGCAAAAUUAAAUGAGUUUUAAUAACCAUUUAAGACUUAUUUCUCUUAAAAAUAACCCUCCUAACGUUUGUGUUAUGGAGGCAGUAGUGUAAUAUUUUUGUGAAAUAAUACUGUGUCACAGGUGUUGACCAUGUGUGGGUUUUUUUUUUUUCUUUUUUUUUUAAGUUCAUGGUUCACAUACUGUUGAAGACCAUGUGUGUUUUUAAAAAUUCAUUUCGUAACUUCUUUUUCUAAAAAAUGUUUUAUUUAUUUAUUUAUGGCAGUGUUGGGUCUUAGCUGCCAUAUGCAGGCUUCAUUGUGGUGCUCAGGCCGGUCUAGUUGCGAUAUGGGGACUUAGUAGUUGUGCUGGGCUGGCGGGCUUAGUUGCCCUGAGGCAUGUGGAGUCUUAGUUCCCUGGCCAGGGAUGGAACCCACUUCCCCUGCCUUGGAAGGUAGAUUCUUAACCACUGGACCACCAGUGAAGUUCAAAGACUAGAGAACUUGAAGCCACAGAGUGCUGUGAAUGUAAUUGCAGUUUGGAAAGAUCAUUGGUUAUUGUGAUGAGGAGAGCUUGUGGGAAUGAAUUAAUGGAAGGUAGGGAAGACCACUUAUUCAGAAACUCGUAAAUGAGCAUGUACUACGUGCCAGACAUUGCUGGCACUGUGAACAGACUGCACACCCGGCCCUCCUGGAGUUAAGUGGUGAGGGGAUGCUGUGAGGGUGGCUGGGAGACGAGGAUGUGCUGGCAAGCUCUUAAGCGGUUACGGUAGACAGACUGGAACGAUGGAUUUAACAUGCGGCACAGGGGGACGGCAGCUCCUGGGGUCUUGGCCAAAGUGACUUGCUGAUUGGUGGUACCAUUCUGGCAAUAGAGGAUGUAGCCAUUUUGAGGUUGAGAUACCCGCACAUGAGUCAGGCAACAUUUAUGGGGAAUUUUCAUGGACGGUCCUCCCAUGUCUCCUCUAAUUUGGGUCUACCUUGUCUGUCUUCCUGUUGAACCUUGGAUUUAUGUCUGUUAUAGCACUUCUGUCUCUUUAGGUAAUUACUGACUUUCCUGUUGCCUUCUCCUUGCCCAUUGAGGGUGGGACCUGCCUGUAUCAUUUUCCGGUCCCUGCUUGCAGGCCGUCCCUGCCAGCCUGGAGAAGAGAUAGCUCCUCUUGGCCUCUACUGCUGCUGUCCUCCUGUACACCAUCAUCUGUAACUUGAAUUACUGAGGUUGCCUUCCAGUAAGUCUGCUUCCACAUGCUAAAGUGUAAGUCAGCAUGUUUCUCUACUGCCCAGAACCUCACAGUGGCCUUAGGAGACCUAUUUAGUCUGGUUCUUGUGUUACUACUGUAACUUUUAUCUUCUUUGUGUCUUUCGAAUCUUUGCUUAAAUAUUACCUUCUCAAUAAGGCCUAUCUUGACCUACCUGCUAUCCAUCUGUAAGUAUGCUGUCUCUAAAAUACAGACAGCCUAGCUUCAUACUGUAUUCUGUCAGCUCUGUGAUAUCCUGUGACAGUAAAAUGAUGAGUGGCUGCCGGAGGUUAGAGUAGGAGGAGGAAUGAUGAGGCAGAGCAGAUUCUUAGGGCAGAGAAAAACCACUGUCUGUCUGAUGCAUAGUAAUGGGUACCUGCUGUUACACGUUUGUGCAGACUCAAGAGUGUCCGGCCGAGAAGUGAGCCCUGGUAUGUGCUGGGCUUUGUGUGAUUAUGAUGUGUCAGGACAGGUCUGUCAGUUGUGACAGAUGUCCCGCUCCGGUGGGGUGGAUAGUGGGAGGAGCUGUCAUGGACGGGGGCAGAGAGUACGUGGGAAAUCUCUGUGUCCUUCUCUCAGUCUUGCUGUCAACCUGGAACUGCUCUAAAAUAAUUGUCUUUAAAUGUAAAAGACAACAACAACAGCAUCAGCAAGUAUAUAACCACAGAUAGCGCAAUUAAGUAAAAAUAAUGUUUGUUCCUUCGUGUGAUUAAAUCUCCAGUCAGCUCUUUUUAAACAGUUGUUUAGACCAGCAUUCAAACAUGAUGCACAUGUUGCAUUAAAAAAAAUAGCUUUAUUGAGGUAUAAUUGACACUCAGUAAACUGUCAUUUUUGAAGUGUACAGUUUGAUUAGUUUUGACAUAGGUACACACCUGUGAAAUUAUUACCACAAUCAAGAGACUGAAUAUGUUCAUCACCCCACACCCAGGUUUCCUCAUUCCUCCUUGUGAUUCCUGCUGGUUGCCCGUCCUUCCCCAAGCAGUCACUCAUCUGCUUCCUGUUACUGUAGGUUAGUUUGCAUUUUCUUCUGUUUUAUAUAAAUGGAAGCUUAACUUCUGUACUAUCUUGACAUCUGGCUUCCUCCAACAUAAUUAUUUUGAGACUCAUCUACCUUGUUGCAUGUAUCAUUUGAUUAAUUUUUAUUGGUCAGUCGUAUUACCUUGUAUGGAUACACCAGAAUUUUUUUAUUCACUCACCUCUUGAUGGACAUUUGAGUUAUUUCCAUCUUUUGGCUGUGACAAAUAUUAGUUUGAAUAGUAUGUGUCAUUUAGAAAUUCCAGAAUGAUAGAGUAAUACUUAACAAUAUAUCUUCCCCCUUAUAUGUAUUUUAUUAAAAGAAAUUAUAGGUAGGUGGUUCUUUACCGCUGAGCCACCUGGGAAACUCUUAUCCUGGUAUACUGUUUGUUAUUUUCAUCACACUUACUAACAUAAAUGUAUACAUUUGUUUAAUAUCUGUUGUAAAAUUUAAACUCCAUAAAGACACAGGUCUUUGUUUACUGCUGUAUCCCCAGAGUCUAGAACAUUGUUGAGCACCUAGUUGGCAUAGAAUACAAAUCUUUUGAAUUAAAAAAAAUGAAUGCAGUACAAAGGCGCAGAAGGGGUGAACUGUCCUUACCCUCAUUCCUUUGAUAGAAAAGUAACAUUUUCUUUUGUGAGGAUAAUUGUGUUUAACAACCCUGUUAAAGACAGUGUAAAGUCUUCUGGGUCUUGGGCAGUUAGGAACUCCCCAGGUAGAUUUGGGGGAGGGCUGUGUAACCAGAUCUGCUUCUUCCUCUGAGACUAACCCUCAGAGAUAGUAGCUGCCAGAGAUUUAUUGGCCCUUUAAAAUCCCAGGUCA